UGGGGAAUAUUGGGCAAUGGGCGCAAGCCUGACCCAGCAAUGCCGCGUGGGUGAAGAAGGUCUUCGGAUUGUAAAGCCCUUUCGGCGGGGACGAUGGUGACGGUACCCGCAGAAGAAGCCCCGGCCAACUUCGUGCCAGCAGCCGCGGUAAUACGAAGGGGGCUAGCGUUGCUCGGAAUCAUUGGGCGUAAAGGGCGCGUAGGCGGCGCGGUUGGUCAGGCGUGAAAUCCCCGGGCUCAACCCAGGGACUGCGCUUGAUACGGCCGUGCUGGAGGAUGGAAGAGGGCCGCGGAAUUCCCAGUGUAGAGGUGAAAUUCGUAGAUAUUGGGAAGAACACCGGUGGCGAAGGCGGCGGCCUGGUCCAUUUCUGACGCUGAGGCGCGACAGCGUGGGGAGCAAA
rnacentral:rRNA from 1 species